rnacentral:rRNA from 1 species
CCUUGCACACCACCGCCCGUCGCUUCAUCGAACGUUGGUUUUAGGCGAGGUGGUGCGAUUUGGCAUUAUCGAACCUGAGAUCAGCAACGAGGAG